rnacentral:lncRNA from 1 species
UCCCUAUAAUCAAAUGAUGAAACACAUCAAACGAAUAGACAACAACUCUCAUAUUCCUGACUUGGUACAAGCAUUUGCAAAUGUAGAAAAUGGUGUAUUGAACCUAGUUUAAUAACACUAAACUUCUCACUUAUAUAACAGUUGCAUCAAAUUCCGUUUUUUUACAACUAUGCGUGAACAAAACACGUAAUCGGUAAACUGAAGAAAUAUGCUUUGAGUUAUUAUUUUUUUUUUAUACAUUUUGAAUAAAUAUAACUGUUUCUAAUCAAUAAAAAUGUAAUCUACUGGGGUCAAGAAUUAUUCAGAAAAUGUGUGUUAUCAUUCUUCUUUGCUAAAUUAUGUCCAUAUGUCUUUUCUUAUUUUUGACAACUGACUUGGGACAGACACGUGGAGAUUUUUGCGGGGCUUAACAUGUUUAAUUAAAACAACUUCGUAUCUCUUGCAAUACUUCUGAACUGAACAUGUUGAAUGCAGAUUACUUGUUCCCUGAAAUAUGAUAGAGGCAGUUGGGUAGUUAUUAAGGAAACGUGUUGUGACAUUGUACAUGUAUUCCCAUAGAUUUAAUUUGACACCUGUACAUUAUGGUUGAAUUUUUGCUUCAAUGAAAUCAUUUAGCGGUAAGGAAACGGUUGGAACUCGGUAUAUCGUGCAUGUACAAUAUACAUGUAUAAGCCCACCUCCGGGUGUCGAGAGUCUAUUAUUGGCCUUCGGCUGUUUUGUGCUCUUUGAUCGGGUUGUUGUCUCUUUGACAAAUUCCCAUUCUAUUUUUUUUUACUCUUUUGAGUUUCCUACUAUAUGUUUACAAACUGUCCUGUUGAGUAAAACAACUAGAAUAUUCCCUCAAGACCUUUCACAUUAUACUGUGACAUCUAUAUUAUCCUGCUCUUUUUAUAAGAAGAAUGUUUUUCCAAGAAUAGAAAUGAAAACAUUAAUUGAAAAAAGGCAACUUCAAAUCUAUAUUUUAUUAUUACUUAUUUUAUACUACUUUUUAGUCCUAAUGUUACAAUUCACGAUUAUUAGAAUUGUGAAGUUUGGACUGUAUUAACAUUAUUACUUCAUACAUUUC